rnacentral:tRNA from 1 species
UGGCUCAGCUGGUAGAGAAUCCGCCUGCAAUGCGGGAGACCGGGGUUCAAUCCCUG